GAUGAACGCUGGCGGCGUGCCUAAUACAUGCAAGUCGAGCGAACAGAUGAGGAUCUUGCUCCUCUGACGUUAGCGGCGGACGGGUGAGUAACACGUGGAUAACCUACCUAUAAGACUGGUAUAACUUCGGGAAUCCGGAGCUAAUACCGUAUAAUAUAUUGAACCGCAUUGUUCAAUAGUGAAAGACGGUUUUGCUGUCACUUAUAGAUGGAUCUGCGCCGCAUUAGCUAGUUGGUAAGGUAACGGCCUACCAAGGCAACGAUGCGUAGCCGACCUGAGAGGGUGAUCGGCCACACUGGAACUGAGACACGGUCCAGACUCCUAAGGGAGGCAGCAGUAGGGAAUCUUACGCAAUGGGCGAAAGCUUGACGGAGCAACGCCGCGUGAGUGAUGAAGGUCUUCGGAUCGUAAAAAUCUGUUAUUAGGGAAGAACAAAUGUGUAAGUAAAUAUGCACGUCUUGACGGUACCUAAUCAGAAAGCCACGGCUAACUACGUG
rnacentral:rRNA from 1 species